UGCAUUUGAAGCCCAUGAGGAUGAGAGCCUCCGGGGGCGGGGAGGUUCGACGCGAGCGAAGCGAGAGAACGUUGCGCCAGCAACGGCCCGCAGGGCGCGCCACGAAGUGGCGAGUAAUCCUCUAUCACCGACCA
rnacentral:sRNA from 1 species